rnacentral:rRNA from 1 species
AGUAAAUAGAUACCCUGGUAGUCCACGCCGUAAACGAUGUCGACUUGGAGGUUGUGCCCUUGAGGCGUGGCUUCCGGAGCUAAACGCGUUAAGUCGACCGCCUGGGGAGUACGGCCGCAAGGUUAAAACUCAAAUGAAUUGACGGGGGCCCGCACAAGCGGUGGAGCAUGUGGUUUAAUUCGAUGCAACGCGAAGAACCUUACCUACUCUUGACAUCCAGAGAACUUAGCAGAGAUGCUUUGGUUGCCUUCGGGUAACUCUGAGACAGGUGCUGCAUGGCUGUCGUCAGCUCGUGUUGUGAAAUGUUGGGUUAAGUCCCGCAACGAGCGCAACCCUUAUCCUUUGUUGCCAGCGGUUAGGCCGGGAACUCAAAGGAGACUGCCAGUGAUAAACCUGGAGGAAGGUGGGGAUGACGUCAAGUCAUCAUGGCCCUUACGAGUAGGGCUACACACGUGCUACAAUGGCGCAUACAAAGAGAAGCGACCUCGCGGGAGCAAGCGGACCUCAUAAAGUGCGUCGUAGUCCGGAUUGGAGU